UACGUAGGGUGCAAGCGUUGUCCGGAAUUAUUGGGCGUAAAGAGCUCGUAGGCGGUCUGUCGCGUCGGCUGUGAAAACUCGGGGCUCAACUCCGAGCUUGCAGUCGAUACGGGCAGGCUAGAGUGCGGUAGGGGUGACUGGAAUUCCUGGUGUAGCGGUGGAAUGCGCAGAUAUCAGGAGGAACACCGAUGGCGAAGGCAGGUCACUGGGCCGCAACUGACGCUGAGGAGCGAAAGCAUGGGGAGCGAACAGG
rnacentral:rRNA from 1 species